UUUUUGACAGUGGAAUUCCACUGGCAGUGAAUAUGAAGCAUUCUGCGAAAGAUGCCCUUAUCAGCUUCACCAUCCGACUUGGAAGUACAGCAGCCCUGGGAGCCAGCCACAGGAAGUGGCACCUUAUGAGGUACUGACGCAGUGGGUACAGACAGCGCCUGGGUGGAUGUGGCCAAUAUCUGCUUGUGACUUGCGGUGAAGAUGAUCCAUUGCUCAGUUCAACAACUUCGGUCUUGACUCUUGCACCGUCAUCGACCCUGAGCCUGCCUACCAUCCGCCUGUACUUCUGCCCCGCUAACAGCUUUCCUGGCUACCAGACUUUUUGCAUGGUGUACCGAUUACGAGACUGCCUUCUCCCUUGGUACUGUACUUUGGUUUUGGCUGGAUUUUACAUGUAUGAACAUUGCUUGUUU